rnacentral:rRNA from 1 species
AGAGUUUGAUCAUGGCUCAGAUUGAACGCUGGCGGCAGGCCUAACACAUGCAAGUCGAGCGGUAGCACAGAGAGCUUGCUCUCGGGUGACGAGCGGCGGACGGGUGAGUAAUGUCUGGGAAACUGCCUGAUGGAGGGGGAUAACUACUGGAAACGGUAGCUAAUACCGCAUAAUGUCGCAAGACCAAAGUGGGGGACCUUCGGGCCUCAUGCCAUCAGAUGUGCCCAGAUGGGAUUAGCUAGUAGGUGGGGUAAUGGCUCACCUAGGCGACGAUCCCUAGCUGGUCUGAGAGGAUGACCAGCCACACUGGAACUGAGACACGGUCCAGACUCCUACGGGAGGCAGCAGUGGGGAAUAUUGCACAAUGGGCGCAAGCCUGAUGCAGCCAUGCCGCGUGUGUGAAGAAGGCCUUCGGGUUGUAAAGCACUUUCAGCGGGGAGGAAGGCGGUGAGGUUAAUAACCUCAUCGAUUGACGUUACCCGCAGAAGAAGCACCGGCUAACUCCGUGCCAGCAGCCGCGGUAAUACGGAGGGUGCAAGCGUUAAUCGGAAUUACUGGGCGUAAAGCGCACGCAGGCGGUCUGUCAAGUCGGAUGUGAAAUCCCCGGGCUNAACCUGGGAACUGCAUUCGAAACUGGCAGGCUAGAGUCUUGUAGAGGGGGGUAGAAUUCCAGGUGUAGCGGUGAAAUGCGUAGAGAUCUGGAGGAAUACCGGUGGCGAAGGCGGCCCCCUGGACAAAGACUGACGCUCAGGUGCGAAAGCGUGGGGAGCAAACAGGAUUAGAUACCCUGGUAGUCCACGCCGUAAACGAUGUCGAUUUGGAGGUUGUGCCCUUGAGGCGUGGCUUCCGGAGCUAACGCGUUAAAUCGACCGCCUGGGGAGUACGGCCGCAAGGUUAAAACUCAAAUGAAUUGACGGGGGCCCGCACAAGCGGUGGAGCAUGUGGUUUAAUUCGAUGCAACGCGAAGAACCUUACCUGGUCUUGACAUCCACAGAACUUUCCAGAGAUGGAUUGGUGCCUUCGGGAACUGUGAGACAGGUGCUGCAUGGCUGUCGUCAGCUCGUGUUGUGAAAUGUUGGGUUAAGUCCCGCAACGAGCGCAACCCUUAUCCUUUGUUGCCAGCGGUUAGGCCGGGAACUCAAAGGAGACUGCCAGUGAUAAACUGGAGGAAGGUGGGGAUGACGUCAAGUCAUCAUGGCCCUUACGACCAGGGCUACACACGUGCUACAAUGGCAUAUACAAAGAGAAGCGACCUCGCGAGAGCAAGCGGACCUCAUAAAGUAUGUCGUAGUCCGGAUUGGAGUCUGCAACUCGACUCCAUGAAGUCGGAAUCGCUAGUAAUCGUAGAUCAGAAUGCUACGGUGAAUACGUUCCCGGGCCUUGUACACACCGCCCGUCACACCAUGGGAGUGGGUUGCAAAAGAAGUAGGUAGCUUAACCUUCGGGAGGGCGCUUACCACUUUGUGAUUCAUGACUGGGGUGAAGUCGUAACAAGGUAACCGUAGGGGAACCUGCGGUUGGAUCACCU